AGCAGAAAUAAGUUAAAAGUCAAAGAGAAGGGUCUAGCACCUGGACAGGAGACAGGCCAUGCUCAGGACAGCAAGUGAGAAAUCCCUGAUUUAAGAGCAAGUGGAUGAAGAAAUAUUAGAAACCAGCUAUUUCAUGUUCUGUUCAGGGCCUGCAUGGACAGCUGCUGAUCUCACAAGAAGGAAUGUUUUUCAGCUACAAGGAGAUCUUGCAGCUGUAGAUAAAGAAAACCAAAGGAGCUUGGACCUCCCCAACAGCACAGAUGGGCUGACCACACUAGGGGACCACCCUAAAACAUGCCCUUUACCCACCUUUGCCCCCCACCAGUGGAAGCCUAGCCCUUCCACCCACCGUGCUUGUCAAUAAAAAGCAAAAAUGACA